rnacentral:antisense_RNA from 1 species
CUUGAGCGAGCCGAGCCAGAGCGGUUCGCCGUCCGGACGGCUCUGGCCGUACGUGGCGAGCAGCGCCUGCGCCUC